AGAAGGAGCCGCUAUCACAGCAACCAGGACGAGAAACACUGACUGGCUUCCUACCCAUAAUUACAACCAAUUGUGUUUGUUGGAACGAACUACCAAACUAAGACAAAGAUCGAACAGGACUGAACCUACCUGCCAGGACAAACAGAUGGUUCCCAGGCUCUCCCUGCUUGAUGACGUACUCUCCCUGCUGGUUCGAUCUACUUUGUGCUGCUUGAUGCGGCUAGCGGCAAAAAUAGACCUGCUACCUAUUCUCUGCGGAGCGGAGCGGAGAGCCGCUUCUGGGACACUUCUAGGACGCUUCUGGAACGCUUCAGGAAUGCGCAGUGGAUUUUUAAAAUCCAUUGACUCCGUCUACGGCGCAACAAUAAACACGGUUAAAAUGGACACAAAAGGAAAUCAUUUAACUAACUACUAUUUAAAAUAAAUCCAACAACAAAAAGGCUGU